rnacentral:rRNA from 1 species
CAAUAGCGUAUAUUAAAGUUGUUGCGGUUAAAAAGCUCGUAGUUGGAUUUCUGCCGAGGACGACCGGUCCGCCCUCUGGGUGAGCAUCUGGCUCGGCCUGGGCAUCUUCUUGGAGAACGUAUCUGCACUUGACUGUGUGGUGCGGUAUUCAGGACUUUUACUUUGAGGAAAUUAGAGUGUUUCAAGCAGGCAUACGCCUUGAAUACAUUAGCAUGGAAUAAUAAGAUAGGACCUCGGUUCUAUUUUGUUGGUUUCUAGAUCUGAGGUAAUGAUUAAUAGGGACAGUUGGAGAUAUUCAUAUUCAGUUGUCAGAGGUAAGUAA